ACAUACGUUUAACUCCCUCUCUCUCAGUGAGGAAUAGAAAAUAAUAAUGAAAAGAGAGAGGAAGAGGGAGAGACAGAGAAGGAAAGAAAGAAGGAGACAGAGAGAGAGAGAUUACCAAGUGAUGCCUCAGAGCUUACAAUUGUUUGAGAUCAGUACUGGUUUGAAGCGAAGACUGGAUACAAAAUAAGAGGGAAAACGAGAGAGAAAGAGAGAAGAGGGAUAGAGGUAGGGAGUGAGAGACGGGAAAAUAGAAAAGAAGGUUGAAAAUGAGAAAAAGAAAGAAAAUUGGACACUUCUCUGGGUGAAUAUUGAUGUAUAAGCCAAAUCGGAACAGGCUAUGAGACGCUGAUACUCUCCCCCAGAAUAUCAAGGUGUGCUGAAGUCAGGCUUCGCAGACUGAGAAUAGGCUAUCCUUGUGCGUGGCAAAUCGUACCCACCAUUGGGCAUCCUGCACAGCCUCUGAUAAAACCACCAAUGCCUGCAGAGGAGGCAUUAGCAGUCUAUUACGGGUGUCUGUUUUUAUCAGAUUAAUUUUUGAAACUAAUCUCUCUGCCGAGGCAUAGAAAUUGAGAAAUAGAAAUGAAGUCAAACCAAAUAGAAAUAGAAAUUAAAAUAGAAAUUAAGUGUGUCAUAGAAAUUAAGAAAUCUUUACAAAAUAAAAAUAAAAAGUCUGUUACG
rnacentral:lncRNA from 1 species